CCAACCAUAGCUCAGUUGGUAGAGCGGAGGACUGUAGAUUAAAACCCUUAGAGGCAACUCUUAGCUGAUAUCCUUAGGUCACUGGUUCGAAUCCGGUUGGUUGGA
rnacentral:tRNA from 1 species